rnacentral:rRNA from 1 species
CAGCAGCCGCGGUAAUACGAGGGGGGCAAGCGUUGUUCGGAAUUAUUGGGCGUAAAGGGCGCGUAGGCGGUUUGGCAAGUUUGGUGUGAAAUCUUCGGGCUCAACUCGAAGUCUGCAUCGAAAACUGCCGGGCUUGAGUAUGGGAGAGGUGAGUGGAAUUUCCGGUGUAGCGGUGAAAUGCGUAGAUAUCGGAAGGAACACCUGUGGCGAAAGCGGCUCACUGGACAAUAACUGACGCUGAUGCACGAAAGCUAGGGGAGCAAACAGGAUUAGAUACCCGUGUAGUCCCUGUCUCUUAUAC